GCGAACGCUGGCGGCAGGCUUAACACAUGCAAGUCGAGCGGACCUUUCGGGGUCAGCGGCGGACGGGUGAGUAACGCGUGGGAACGUGCCUUCCGGUUCGGAAUAACCCUGGGAAACUAGGGCUAAUACCGGAUACGCCCUUAUGGGGAAAGGUUUACUGCCGGAAGAUCGGCCCGCGUCUGAUUAGCUAGUUGGUGGGGUAACGGCCUACCAAGGCGACGAUCAGUAGCUGGUCUGAGAGGAUGAUCAGCCACACUGGGACUGAGACACGGCCCAGACUCCUACGGGAAGCAGCAGUGGGGAAUAUUGGACAAUGGGCGCAAGCCUGAUCCAGCCAUGCCGCGUGAGUGAUGAAGGCCUUAGGGUUGUAAAGCUCUUUUAUCCGGGACGAUAAUGACGGUACCGGAGGAAUAAGCCCCGGCUAACUUCGUG
rnacentral:rRNA from 1 species